rnacentral:lncRNA from 1 species
UUGAAUUAAUCUUAUCAAAUAAAAAAUUCAAGUACAAAGAGAAAAUUGGGUUCAACCAUGUGCUAGCAAGGUUAUUCUGAACGCAAUAAGGUUUCUCUAAAUCCAAUUGAGACUUCGUAAGUCCAAUUGCUUAUUCCAGUUAUAAUUCUUUUGUUGUGUGACUCCAUAGGUUCAAUUCUAUCUAGUAGUGAGAAUACAAUGAUCUUUAUUAUAGUAUCAUUGCAAUUUUUUUCAAUGGAUCGGAAUAAUUCCACUCUAACUCAUCAAGAAUUAUCGAUUCUGAGCAAUCCUAGUGAGCUCUUAUAAUCCAUCAGUGACACCUAGCAGUAUGUAGUGGCAACCUAGUAGAACCGAAAAAGAACCUUAAGGUCUACUUCAAAUGUGAUUCAGUCUCUCUAUCGUGAGUUUCGACUAAAUGGUAGGUCAUAGAUAAAUCGUCAAAUCUUAUCAUCNNNNNNNNNNNNNNNNNNNNUUUUCCAUCAAUCACACUACUGUGGUCACGGACUCUUGGACUUAGCCUCUCAAUAGGACUACUCUCUAUCAAAGUCGAUAGAUUCUAUCUAGAUACGCACUCUACUCCUACAGUGGAUCAACUGCUACCAGAUUCUACUACAAGAUCUCAAUGCGGCCAUGUUUAUGUGUUAGUCAAAUUUCAGCAGCCUUAUUGCGAGCAGUCGUAUCAUCAUAGGUCAAAAGAUCAUUCACGAACUACAGCAUCAA